CACGACACGUUGUUCCACAACGAGUGACGUUAAUUGCCGCGCAGCUGGCAAUCAUUUCCGGUCCAGUUAAUAAAAUCCAGAGAAACUAUUUAACAGUACAAUGCCAUGUUUCUCGUGGAGGAAGCUUAUCAGUGGUUCCCGUAGGCGUUUUAAUCAGUCCAUCUCAAUGAAACUACUUCAGAGUUUUCGAAACGGUGGGACGGAAAGUGGACACGUUUCAACAGGAACGUAGAAGAAGGUUUUAGUCGACGAGCAUAUUGACUUAGGACUAAAUUGGUCAGUCUAAACAACAGGAUGUGAAAGUUACGUGGAAACCAAUUUGCGCAUCUCAACUUCCUUUGUGAACCAAAACGUUUCAGUCCUUUAUAAGAGAUGAUGAAAUCAUACUUGCUUUUUAUUAUUGGAUUUAUAUCGUUUUUCCUGUUUGGCCUUUUUAAAAAAAUUCAUGCAUAAAUAUCACUUGACAAAUCCCAUAUCGCUUAAAUACAAUUUCUCUC